rnacentral:rRNA from 1 species
AGCUCCAAUAGCGUAUAUUGAAGUUGCUGCGUUUAAAAAGUUCGUAGUUGGAUCUCAGUCUGGAUCGAGCAGUUUGCUGUCACGGCACUGCACGAUCAGACAUCCUGCCGCAUUUUCUCUGCAUUUGUGUGAGAGAAGAGUGGCAUGUUUACUUUGAAAAAAUUAGAGUGCUCAAAGCAGGCUUUCGCCUGAAUAUUCGUGCAAGGAAUAAUGGAAUAGUACCUCGGUUCUAUUUUGUUGGUUUCCGGAACCCGAGGUGAUGAUUAAUAGGGACGGACGGGGGCAUUUGUAUUGCGACGUGAGAGGUGAAAUUCUUAGAUCGUCGCAAGACAAACAAACGCGAAAGCAUUUGCCAAGAAUGUUUUCA